rnacentral:rRNA from 1 species
CAGCGAAAGGUGCUUGCACCUUUCAAGUGAGUGGCGAACGGGUGAGUAACACGUGGACAACCUGCCUCAAGGCUGGGGAUAACAUUUGGAAACAGAUGCUAAUACCGAAUAAAACUUAGUGUCGCAUGACACAAAGUUAAAAGGCGCUUCGGCGUCACCUAGAGAUGGAUCCGCGGUGCAUUAGUUAGUUGGUGGGGUAAAGGCCUACCAAGACAAUGAUGCAUAGCCGAGUUGAGAGACUGAUCGGCCACAUUGGGACUGAGACACGGCCCAAACUCCUACGGGAGGCUGCAGUAGGGAAUCUUCCACAAUGGGCGAAAGCCUGAUGGAGCAACGCCGCGUGUGUGAUGAAGGCUUUCGGGUCGUAAAGCACUGUUGUAUGGGAAGAACAGCUAGAAUAGGAAAUGAUUUUAGUUUGACGGUACCAUACCAGAAAGGGACGGCUAAAUACGUGCCAGCAGCCGCGGUAAUACGUAUGUCCCGAGCGUUAUCCGGAUUUAUUGGGCGUAAAGCGAGCGCAGACGGUUUAUUAAGUCUGAUGUGAAAGCCCGGAGCUCAACUCCGGAAUGGCAUUGGAAACUGGUUAACUUGAGUGCAGUAGAGGUAAGUGGAACUCCAUGUGUAGCGGUGGAAUGCGUAGAUAUAUGGAAGAACACCAGUGGCGAAGGCGGCUUACUGGACUGCAACUGACGUUGAGGCUCGAAAGUGUGGGUAGCAAACAGGAUUAGAUACCCUGGUAGUCCACACCGUAAACGAUGAACACUAGGUGUUAGGAGGUUUCCGCCUCUUAGUGCCGAAGCUAACGCAUUAAGUGU